CAACAACAGCUAGUGGAUUCACUCACAAUCAGCGGCGGAUCUCUGCACAGACCCGCAGGAGCCGCGGUACCCCCCAAAAAAAAAAAGAUUUUUUUUGUAUAUAGGAAACUACUAUAAUGCCCUUGAUACAAUUCUUUUUUACAUGCUUUGUCCUUCUCUGGUACCCCCUCUCCAUUCACCUCCCGUCUCUCGCGAACUCUCUCUAGCACCCCCUCACUGGGCUCUUCAACUUCGGCGACGGCCAUGCUAUGAGGCUCUUGAGUCUCAGUCUCUGGCGCGGUGGAGGCGCUAGGCACCUGCUAUCUUACUCUCUCAGAUCUCAGUCACUUUCAGGAGUAAUAAUGCAAUGAUUCAACCAGAUGAGCAGCCUUGAAAGGAACCUCUUCGUCAAUGUUUUCAGCCUGCCCAAACCUCUGGCGAUGAUUCAAAGGAGUGAAAGACAACAGGGGUAUGCUUGUGUGGUUACUUGCAAGAUAAUAAAAAGCAUCUGACUUGUAAUCUUUUUAGUCAGCUGUACAGCGAUAAUUCUAGAAAUAGGUGGUUAGUUUUUGUUGAUUUCAAUUUGGUUUUGUGUCAAGCUGGAAAAAAAAUGGAGGUAAUCCUAUUGAUAGUAGUAUUACUAACCAGUUCAAAGACACUAUCCAGCAGCGUGGCUUUAAUGAUUUGAGCUACAUUGGGGAUAUUUUCAUCACAUAAAAGCUAGAUUGGACAGAUUCUUAGUUAGCAAUGUAUAUGUUCCAUAAUUUUUCUAAUAUACAAAGGUAUGCCUCUGAUCAUAUACCUUUACUUUUUU